GGGGGUCAGACAGCUGAACUGUAAAAGCUGCACAGAUUUUUUUUUUUUUUCUUCUUCCUCUGUCUCUGUCUCUCUCUCUGUCUCUUCCAUACAGCAUUUUUCUUUCAUGCCCUGUCUCAGUUUGCAUAGUUAAAGAGAAUGCUAAUUAAGAUCCCUUGUCUUAACCUGAAAAUAAUGACUUGGAUGUAAAUAGAAAACUGGCGAUAGUUUAAAAUAUUCUUGCGUAGCACCAAGAUAUCAGUUACCAUUCUAGGGGAAAAAAGGAAGAAUUAAUUUUUUUGUAAUCAAGACGGAUCUAACAACGCAGUCUGGGCUCCGUGCCAAAGGCUGGUAUUUCACAGCAGCGACCGCCUUACAGAUGAGCUGUGGGAAGCAGGAGGGAGACUCUCUUAGGGUGCCACUACUAUGGAGACACAGCUGGGCUGAACAAGAUUUGCUUCAAACGACAACAAGAGAGACAGAAAGAGUCUGGUUCGACCGCUGCCCAAGCAGGCAGUAACCAGAAGAGCUAGCAGCCAAUCCGGCCAUGCUGCACUGUUCGAAACCAGCUCUACAUCCCAGCCAAUCAGUGACAUCACUGGUCUUUAGGGAUUUUACACUGCGUAUCUGGAAAAACAAGUCACCGUUUAAACACUAAGUCUACAGCUUGAAUGAUCUGGAAGGUAACAUUUUCUGUAGAUGAAAACUUCUGCCUGCUGUGAUAUCCCACUCUUUGAGUGAUGCCACAUGCAGCACUGAGUAGUACUGGCAAACGGAAGAGAUUUCGUGGAAUAAGGUGUGCAGCUGCCAUUCUGUCUCAGCAGGACUGUGUUUGCCACUUCAUGAGCUGCAGAGCAAGAGGAGCCAACUUUAGGAAAAGGCAUAUUGUGAUACCCUCACUGAUUUCUUUUACAAUGUAUUCUGUUCAGGCCAGAAUUUACUUAACUGUCCAGGCAGUUGCGGCAAGGAUUGGUGCAGCUUUUGCGCAGUGCUUUGUGCCUGGAAUUCCGAGAAGAGCGAGAGAGAGAGAAGACAGGCAUCCUGGUCUUCUUCCGAGAAAGAACAGGAGCCCUGAGAAGAAGAAACAAAUCUGAGUUUGUCCUACAUACAAGAGUGCAGGAAAGAAAAAAAAGUGACUCUCCUGCUUCCAAAAAAAAAAAAAAAAAAAAUCUGGCAUGUUUCACUACAGAGGCAUCAGGACAUGUUAGAGCUGCUUAAAACAGUGUAACAAAAUGAACAUAGGAGAUUUUAAGUAAAAAAACAAAAAAAGGAAAAAGAAACGAAAAAAGAAAGAAGGAGUGAAUUUUUUGUUUGUUUGCUUGUUUUUUUCACUAUUGCUCAUAUAGCAGUAUUUGGCACUGAGUGAAAACGUACCUUUCAUAUCAGUGAAAGAAAAAAUAAAAAUGAAAAAAGAAAAUGAAGAAUUUAAUUAUACCAGAAAUCAACGAAGCUGAACGGCUUCCCGAAGAGCACUGAGUUUUCUAUGCCAGAUUCUGCUCCAGUGGCUAGGACCUUUAUGGCUGCUGUUUCUUUUGCUCUGGGAUCUGAUGGAGAGGAAAAAAAAAUAAAAAAAGCCACGGUGGAUCUUGUCCCUAAAGUAGAAAUUUUCUUUUUCGUUCUGCAAACAAGGCUAAAGAUCGGAGGAGAAUGAAUGCAAAAGUAAUUCAGGAUUGUGGUCGUGCCAUUAAAAGUGUUCGGCUUCAGAACAAAUUAUUCGGGAAAUCCGAGCAUUUCUUCUUACUGUAUCGACAGUAUUUGAAAGUUAUGUGUGCUUUGAGUAAUCUGGUUCAAGUGACAACAAUCUCUGCAUGUCAAUGUUUUCUGCAGCUUAUGGAGUGAAGUAUAGUUUUGCCAUUGGAAAGGAAGAAGCUUUUUGUAGCAGUCUGUAGAAGGAUUAAAUGUUGAACGUGGGGAAGAGGCAAAAAGUGAAUACACGCCCAAAGGUUAUCCUUGCAUCGUGAAUGGGUUUAAAGUACUCUGCAACCCAGGGCCCACCUGAACAGUAGGACUGAAACUAUAAUGGGGAAAUAUUUCAAUUAGAACCCCCUUAACAAGCAUUUAAUCCUUCUUUCAGGCAUUAAGGAAAAUAUAAUAAAAUUGUUACUGUACAAAUCUGCUGGAAGCAGAUUUUAACCCGUUUAUAGAGGCUUCCCUCAGAUGCAUUAUAAUAAUAUGGCUGCUUGCAAGAUGAGGCAGUGAAGAUUUUUUUCCUGUGUUCUUUGUUUUUUCUUUUCAAAAGUUAAGGACUAUACUCUCAGAAAAGUCUGUUCGGUCAGCUGAUACAUUGUUUGAAUGUAUGUAUGUGUCUUACCUGCUUAUUUGAUCUUUUCUGCCCCCUACUUGAAACUGUGGUUUGUUUAUCUGGGGGGAAGGAGGGGUUGUUGAUUUGGGGGGGAUGUUGUUUUUAGGGUUUUUUUGGGGGGUUGUUUUUUUUUUUUUUUAACAAUAACAGUGAAAGUUUUGCUGACAGCGAUUAUGACUACUAAGCAAUUCAGUUUAUUGGAAGACGAAUUCUACUGGACCGUAUCGGACUUUUCCUAGUCCCUGAGACCCUAACUUGUGAGGUUUUUUAGCAACAAUCACAAGUCAGGCUCUUGGGACCUAGGCGGAGGGGAACCAGCAGCUUUGGACUGUGAUUGUUUCUCUGCAGAAUUUAGAGAACCAAAGGAGCUUUCCUUGUCUCAAAGGGUAAAAAGGAAAAGAUAACUAUUUCAAAUGUUAAGCAACACAACUGUUCCUAAAAGAAAAAAGAAAAAAAAAAUCUAAACAACUGUUAUCCAUUGUGCAACAUUAGGAAGUUACAUAUUUAUAUGUUUAGAAAACUGAACUAAAUGCCAUGUAACAUUUAGAAUUAAAAUUUAAUCUGAAUACCAGUUUACACCUAAAAAAAAAAAACCAAAAAACAAAACCAACAAAACCCCCCCUCUCAAAACUGAUACUAAAAUAUACAAAAGGCUUUCAACCAUAAUAUUACUAUUACUAUUAUAGAAAAUUCUGAUAAUUACCACAAAUAUAGAGUCAUCCUGAGUGUUGCAGCAUUAACUUUUAAAACAUAAAACAAAAACACUGAUGUUUGAGGCCUAGAAAACAUUCAUUCUAUUGUUUGAAUAAUGAUUUCAGUCUACAGGAAAACUGUUGCUUAGCUUUUCCUGUAGCAUGGGACAAAGAGUAUUUUGUAGUUAAUUGCCAUCUUUUUUCUUUGUCCAAGUGAAAACACAAUAUGUCAUUUAAAAUAUUCUCUCAUUUAAUUUACAUUUUAAUCUGAGAUGGAAUAUUGGUUUAAAAAUCAUACUACAGCAUUAAAAUCACUUUGCACGUAGAAUCACUUUCUUGUACCUGUUCAACUUAAAGUGAGCCACCAGUACUCUAAGUAGCAGACCCAACUUCUAGCUUCUCCAUCACUUUUUGCAUUUUUCACCCCUCUGACAAAAAGCAGUGUGAGCUUUAGAUUGUCCCUCAUGUGUUAAGUACUUCACUGACUUUGCAUAAGAAGAUUCACAAGCACACGAGGUAUUUCACAAGCACACUGUUCAUUAAACUCAAACUUCCUAUCUACAACACAGAAUAUGAUUCGUAUUUCUUAAUAUUUUAUAGGUGGUUUAGUUCUGAGUAAUUUUUCUCUGUUUCCUGUGUCUAACCAAGAUGCUGCAAGACCUUGUUGAUACAUCAGACUUCACUGAAACAAAGACUUCACACAGAUCAGGCAUCUAAACUAUUUGUUCGUUUCAGAAGUGGUAUUUUGGCUGCAGUAUAUUUUUUCCACUUGCGUGGGAGGAAUUGUGUUUUAUUGUAAGCAUCAACACUAUUGUUAAAAUAAAUGGUUCUUAUCUGUUAGUGUAA